rnacentral:rRNA from 1 species
CCCUACGGGGCGCAGCAGUGAGGAAUAUUGGUCAAUGGGCGCGAGCCUGAACCAGCCAAGUCGCGUGAGGGAAGACGGUCCUAUGGAUUGUAAACCUCUUUUGUCGGGGAGCAAAAGACGCCACGUGUGGCGUUCCGAGAGUACCCGAAGAAAAAGCAUCGGCUAACUCCGUGCCAGCAGCCGCGGUAAUACGGAGGAUGCGAGCGUUAUCCGGAUUUAUUGGGUUUAAAGGGUGCGCAGGCGGAUUUUUAAGUCAGCGGUCAAAUCGUGGGGCUCAACCCCAUCCAGCCGUUGAAACUGGGGAU